GAUUACUGCAAUUAAAACUGAACAUUCCGAAUCACGUAAACGAAACAAAAUGUUUUUUGAAUAUGUAACAGUCUCGAAAUUAACUCGAUACUAAAUAUGCACAAAUUCUAAGGUAUAUAUAUGCAAAUGUUUUAUCGAGCUAGUGUUUGUAAAAUUCUAAAAGCGUAAAAUUAGACAAGUAUACUCUAUAAAUAGUGUGACAGACAAAAAUUGACGUCAAUUUCAGAACGUAUGCAUACAGUCAGUCUACGAGAAUUCGGACAGUUCAAGAUUAUAAGUUACUAACGCCAAGCAAUGUCAGUUACGUGAAAAGUAUCAUCUCCGAGGAGAUAGUGGGAUAAUAAUCUAUUGUUUAUGUUAUACGAUGCUGUGAAUCAUGUCUGGAGGCAACUCGAAAAACAAAGCUCGCUCCAAGAAGCAGGAGGGAUGGGAGGAGGCUGGCGGGGAGUUCUACCAGGAGUUGUACCCUGGGGGGGAGCAGGAGCUGUUCGAUAACCUUCAGAAAGCUGAUGCUGCUAAGCUGGCCACCUUACUGCCUUCAAAGCAAGCUAGGAACAGUGAGUCCACCUGCCUUUACACUUAGACGACAAAAUAAACGCAAGACCUUAAAAGCUGUCAUUAUACUCAUAAUUAUGAACAACUUUUACUGUGGGACCAAUACUGCAAAGGCAAAAAAAAUGUUCAGAACAUUUUAUCGAGUCGUACGCCCAGCGAAAAAAAAAGGUUUUUUUUUCGCGAUUAUACCAUCAUUCCAAUGAUAAAAGUAUGAGUACAAAAGCCACUUGAAAGGUCUUACGUUUAUUCCGAUACACGUUAUAUACUUUGGCGAUAAAAUAUAGUCGAACCGAGACCUAAACUUGAGGUUUAGACAAAUGUUUGCCAGGAUCGAACCGGCUAAACGUCUAUCCGGGAAUAUUUGUGCAGCCGAUUAAAAAAAAAACGGGAUUUCAACGCCAUCUAUUGUAAAAUUCAGAUAACGUGUAAAGUGUAAUUUAUUUUUUAAACGGUUUGUGCGCAAUUUAAAUUCAAAAUGACCGAUAGAUGUCGUUGUAUUUAAAAUUUUAUAAAAUACAUUUUACUUACAUUGGUGAAAUAAUUUCGAUGGUAAGUAUCUUUUCAAUUAUUAUUACUUUAUGUCGCUAAGCCCUUCCGUACACGAGGCAACAAGGUCUAGUAUCCACUAAAGCAUCUUUAAAAACCUCUUUGAGAUAAGUACUUUUUGCAGAAACCGCCUUCUUGAAGUUCCUUCAUAUACAACGCCCAGUUUUUAGUCUUAAAAGUUAACUUAAGCGUAUAAUGAAUUAACGCUUUACCUGGCUUCUUGUGUAUACGUAAUUACUGUAAAUAAACCAUCUGUUACCAUCUGCCGGCGUAAUUGAAGAUUGCUUACUGUGCGCUUUCGUUUUAACUUCGCGAGCGACAGUCAGCGCCAUCUAGUUUUGCUUCGCGUAAAUUUGUAACGUUGAUACGAGUGGAUGUUAAAGCUUGGGUUAUUCAUUUGAUACAUGAAAACGUUAACGAUAUUAUUUAGGCGCGGAUUUCCACAUAGGCGAAGUAGGGUCGAGCUUAGGGCGGUUACAUUGUAGAUUUUUUUUACAGAAGUCAAGACUUUGUAAAACUAUGUGCCUUAAAAAAAGCCAUAAAAGAACUUUUCAAUAAUAAUGUGUGGCGAUUCCGAUACUUAGAAUUUUUGCUUCUAGCUGUUUUAUGCGAAAAGGACGAUAAUUCGUAGGUCUAGGGCAGCCAUCAUAUAACAUUAUAUUAUUCGCCCCGGGAUAUUUCGUAACUAAUAUAAUAAACGUGAAAGUCUUUAAGAUCCAUAAAACAAACUUGCGCGUUUUUUGUUACUCAUUCAUGCUUAAAAGGCUGGACUAGUUUUGGGCUUGGGCUUAUUACCCCCUUGGCCAAGGUAAUUAAUAACAAUUAUUAUUUAUUUAUUGCCAGCAAGCUAUUUACAUAAUGAAAUCAUUUAUAAGUGUAGUAUAUAUUGAUAAGAACUAAUUAAUUACUCGAUAUUUAGUGUGGUAGACAUUUAUAAUUGGCAUUAAUUUAAUUUAUUUUUGUGUUUAUCCUGGUAGGUUCGGUCUAAAGAACAGCUAAAGACUAGUGAUACCCUUAAAUUAUUAAAUAACUACCUUUAACUUUAUCCUAGACUUCAAGUAUUACUAACAAGAAAUAGUAGGUAUAUGAAAUUUAAAAUGAUUUUAUAAUAUUAAGGUCUUAUUUAAGGCACUUUUGUAACUAUAUAAAUGUUUCUGGUCUCUAGUUGCGAAAAUCCAACACUGAAACGGCAAGAAAUUAAAGUUACUCAAGAAAAAAAUGAAUCUUUUUGCAAAUAAUAUAAUUAUUAAAGCUAGUAUAUCUAAGUAACGACGUACAUAUACAAGCGUAACAAUUACACCAUAACUAAGAUCGAUUGUUCUCUAUGACGCAACGGCAUAGCGACGAUGCAGGUCGCGCACCGACUGGUACUGUACGACAAAUGCUGAAUAAAUCUUCUAUUGUAACGUUACAUCAUAUAAUAGGUAAUAGGAACGCAGCCUUAAAAAACAUAUUAAAAGUUGUGGAAGUAAGAUAGAGCGCUGCUAUGUGUAUAGGUCUGUCUCGCUUCCACGAUAGGAUGUUUGAUUGAAUGUCAUAAAAUCUGUUUUGUCCGUCAGACGGAUUUACAAUUAAAAUCAGGUACGUCUUUAUCAUCAAAAAGUGAAGAAGAUAACGAGCACUUAAGUUUGGUAGUGGGCACUAAAAACAUUACUAGCUAGUAAAAAUCGUACUGGUAAGUGACGUCACACGAAAUUUUGAAUCACUGUAUUUCAUCCAUUUUUUGUUCACGAGAUAAAAGAAUAAAUUCGUAUCUAAUAUUGUUCGUAAAUCGGUCUGAGAGUAAGCUGACUGAUUUAUUUUUUCUCAAUGCCCCUUGGCUGGGGGUCGAGACUGUAUAAGGUCGCGUUAUCCACAAUGUUCAUGACCUAAAUAAAAAUUAAAUCGUACCAACAUUGCUGAUCGAAUGUAAUGAAAAUUAUAUUAUUGUUGUUCCCAUAAUAGAUACAUGAGAUACUUACUAUACACAGUGCAAUAACAUUGUACAAGUACAGUCAGCGACAAAAGUCAAUGCAGAAAUAAAAAUUUACGAAGUAUCAUUAUUUUUAAUGAUAUGUGGAAAAAAUUGGUGUACAUUCUCCAUAGCCUCUUUCUCUUUUCUUUCUCAAUCGAUCCCUUAGUACUGGGGAUUAUGACGCUUUAAUAUUAGAUUAAUUAUCAGUUAUAUCAAAAAUUGCAUGAAAUCAGACUAUUUUGUCAAAGUUUAAAAAAGCGCUACAUAUUAUGUCAAGCUUCUUUACAAAAUCAACAAUUACAAGGCGGGGAAGAAUGCGCUAAUCAGGAUAAUGUUUAAUAUAACUUCAACGUUCAACGAAAAGUACUUAUUAGCCUUCAUGAUUGUCAAAUAUGAUUGACUUUAGUUGCUGCCAGUACAUAUAACUAGUAAUUACUACGAUCGCAAUGGAACUAAACACACGGUGUAACAAUAUAGAUUCCCCUGCCAGUGACAUCCUCCCUCGCAGAUUCAUCUCGGUGUAACGGAUGUGGCGGCGACGUGUCGCACGAUGUAAACAUUUGUGGCAUAGAUUAGUUGGAAACAGAGGUGUCGUGGAGAUUUGCUUUGUGCCUAGUCGAGUAAACUUAGGUAUUUUGUAGAAGGUAUUUUAGCUGUGUUGUUUGUAAAAGUUUCAAGAAAGGAGAAUUGCUUAAUGAAAAUCACAAGUGAGCUCUGUGACAGGGUAUGACUUUCAUAUCAGCAUUGAAUAACUACAUCAUCAUCAUUCCCCUGCCCUUAUCCCAAUUAUUUUAUUUGGG